AGUAACGCCAAAUGACAGGUGACAAAUCCCAUAUUCCUGUAGACAGUUGUAGAACCUUGUACCUGUGAAAAAGAAAUAGAAUCGAGUCUAUCAAAAGAGUUUAGCUGAAUCCAAAUUAUCUGAAGGUAAGGACGUAGAUAUUUUGAAGGCAUGUGUAUUCCAAUCGUUGCCACAGUGACUCCAUGGUAAGGGAUCUUGGAAAGCAUAUACUAUAAACUGCAGAAUCCAACAACGGAAUAUAGUUGCGGAAAUCACGUAGACACCACAGGCCAGGUUUAUUGUGAUACCAACACCUAAAGCAAAACGCAGACACGCAAAGUAACGUCAACGUGAAUAAAACGUCUUUAGGAAUUCUAUAACAUUUUUUGGCGAAUGCUUAUAUUUUGUAAACGGGUUACUUAAACAAAACAAGGACACAGUCUAGCAGGAAGAUCCUCUUUCAGAGAAAGUAGUCACUCAUACAGCACAUCCAUAUGACCAAAGGGUAACGUGCAGCAACACACAAAUGUUCCAGACAGACACAAACGUAUAUAUGAAAACGGAAGACAAAAGGGUAGCGCAAUGGUGUUUGGUGUUUGUUGGUGCCGUAAGACGAUUUAAUGAAUGAGUAAUAUAUAUGUGAAUAUAAACGGUUACCAUAGGUUCUAAGUUAAAGUUUUCAGGCGUGUUGCAUAUUUUAUAAUCUCUCAUGAUUUGUUUGUUUUGUUUUGGGUUUAACGCCGUUUUUCAACAGUAUUUCAGUCAUGUAACGGCGGGCAGUUAACCUAACCAGU
rnacentral:lncRNA from 1 species